UUAAGCGACUAAGCGUACACGGUGGAUGCCCUGGCAGUCAGAGGCGAUGAAGGACGUGCUAAUCUGCGAUAAGCGUCGGUGAGGUGAUAUGAACCGUUAUAACCGGCGAUUUCCGAAUGGGGAAACCCAGUGUGUUUCGACACACUAUCAUUAACUGAAUCCAUAGGUUAAUGAGGCGAACCGGGGGAACUGAAACAUCUAAGUACCCCGAGGAAAAGAAAUCAACCGAGAUUCCCCCAGUAGCGGCGAGCGAACGGGGAGGAGCCCAGAGCCUGAAUCAGUGUGUGUGUUAGUGGAAGCGUCUGGAAAGGCGUGCGAUACAGGGUGACAGCCCCGUACACAAAAAUGCACAUAUUGUGAGCUCGAUGAGUAGGGCGGGACACGUGGUAUCCUGUCUGAAUAUGGGGGGACCAUCCUCCAAGGCUAAAUACUCCUGACUGACCGAUAGUGAACCAGUACCGUGAGGGAAAGGCGAAAAGAACCCCGGCGAGGGGAGUGAAAAAGAACCUGAAACCGUGUACGUACAAGCAGUGGGAGCCUCUUAAUGGGGUGACUGCGUACCUUUUGUAUAAUGGGUCAGCGACUUAUAUUCUGUAGCAAGGUUAACCGAAUAGGGGAGCCGAAGGGAAACCGAGUCUUAACUGGGCGUUAAGUUGCAGGGUAUAGACCCGAAACCCGGUGAUCUAGCCAUGGGCAGGUUGAAGGUUGGGUAACACUAACUGGAGGACCGAACCGACUAAUGUUGAAAAAUUAGCGGAUGACUUGUGGCUGGGGGUGAAAGGCCAAUCAAACCGGGAGAUAGCUGGUUCUCCCCGAAAGCUAUUUAGGUAGCGCCUCGUGAAUUCAUCUCCGGGGGUAGAGCACUGUUUCGGCAAGGGGGUCAUCCCGACUUACCAACCCGAUGCAAACUGCGAAUACCGGAGAAUGUUAUCACGGGAGACACACGGCGGGUGCUAACGUCCGUCGUGAAGAGGGAAACAACCCAGACCGCCAGCUAAGGUCCCAAAGUCAUGGUUAAGUGGGAAACGAUGUGGGAAGGCCCAGACAGCCAGGAUGUUGGCUUAGAAGCAGCCAUCAUUUAAAGAAAGCGUAAUAGCUCACUGGUCGAGUCGGCCUGCGCGGAAGAUGUAACGGGGCUAAACCAUGCACCGAAGCUGCGGCAGCGACGCUUAUGCGUUGUUGGGUAGGGGAGCGUUCUGUAAGCCUGUGAAGGUGUGCUGUGAGGCAUGCUGGAGGUAUCAGAAGUGCGAAUGCUGACAUAAGUAACGAUAAAGCGGGUGAAAAGCCCGCUCGCCGGAAGACCAAGGGUUCCUGUCCAACGUUAAUCGGGGCAGGGUGAGUCGACCCCUAAGGCGAGGCCGAAAGGCGUAGUCGAUGGGAAACAGGUUAAUAUUCCUGUACUUGGUGUUACUGCGAAGGGGGGACGGAGAAGGCUAUGUUGGCCGGGCGACGGUUGUCCCGGUUUAAGCGUGUAGGCUGGUUUUCCAGGCAAAUCCGGAAAACCAAGGCUGAGGCGUGAUGACGAGGCACUACGGUGCUGAAGCGACAAAUGCCCUGCUUCCAGGAAAAGCCUCUAAGCAUCAGGUAACAUCAAAUCGUACCCCAAACCGACACAGGUGGUCAGGUAGAGAAUACCAAGGCGCUUGAGAGAACUCGGGUGAAGGAACUAGGCAAAAUGGUGCCGUAACUUCGGGAGAAGGCACGCUGAUAUGUAGGUGAAGCGACUUGCUCGUGGAGCUGAAAUCAGUCGAAGAUACCAGCUGGCUGCAACUGUUUAUUAAAAACACAGCACUGUGCAAACACGAAAGUGGACGUAUACGGUGUGACGCCUGCCCGGUGCCGGAAGGUUAAUUGAUGGGGUUAGCGGCAACGCGAAGCUCUUGAUCGAAGCCCCGGUAAACGGCGGCCGUAACUAUAACGGUCCUAAGGUAGCGAAAUUCCUUGUCGGGUAAGUUCCGACCUGCACGAAUGGCGUAAUGAUGGCCAGGCUGUCUCCACCCGAGACUCAGUGAAAUUGAACUCGCUGUGAAGAUGCAGUGUACCCGCGGCAAGACGGAAAGACCCCGUGAACCUUUACUAUAGCUUGACACUGAACAUUGAGCCUUGAUGUGUAGGAUAGGUGGGAGGCUUUGAAGUGUGGACGCCAGUCUGCAUGGAGCCGACCUUGAAAUACCACCCUUUAAUGUUUGAUGUUCUAACGUUGGCCCGUAAUCCGGGUUGCGGACAGUGUCUGGUGGGUAGUUUGACUGGGGCGGUCUCCUCCUAAAGAGUAACGGAGGAGCACGAAGGUUGGCUAAUCCUGGUCGGACAUCAGGAGGUUAGUGCAAUGGCAUAAGCCAGCUUGACUGCGAGCGUGACGGCGCGAGCAGGUGCGAAAGCAGGUCAUAGUGAUCCGGUGGUUCUGAAUGGAAGGGCCAUCGCUCAACGGAUAAAAGGUACUCCGGGGAUAACAGGCUGAUACCGCCCAAGAGUUCAUAUCGACGGCGGUGUUUGGCACCUCGAUGUCGGCUCAUCACAUCCUGGGGCUGAAGUAGGUCCCAAGGGUAUGGCUGUUCGCCAUUUAAAGUGGUACGCGAGCUGGGUUUAGAACGUCGUGAGACAGUUCGGUCCCUAUCUGCCGUGGGCGCUGGAGAACUGAGGGGGGCUGCUCCUAGUACGAGAGGACCGGAGUGGACGCAUCACUGGUGUUCGGGUUGUCAUGCCAAUGGCACUGCCCGGUAGCUAAAUGCGGAAGAGAUAAGUGCUGAAAGCAUCUAAGCACGAAACUUGCCCCGAGAUGAGUUCUCCCUGACUCCUUGAGAGUCCUGAAGGAACGUUGAAGACGACGACGUUGAUAGGCCGGGUGUGUAAGCGCAGCGAUGCGUUGAGCUAACCGGUACUAAUGAACCGUGAGGCUUAACCUU
rnacentral:rRNA from 1 species